rnacentral:lncRNA from 1 species
UGGUGGGAGCUCCCUUGGAAUGCCCCAGGGAAUUCCCGGCCUUGGGAAGGGAGGGAAUGAGCGGAGCCGGUGGGGAACGCUGCUCCUGCUUCAUCCCAACGCAUCCGGCAGCGCGGUUAUUCCCGAUUUUUCCCGCGAAUUCCCAAGGGAUUGAUCCAGCCUGGAAAAGCGGGUCCAAGCCUCAUUCCUGGGAGCAGCCGGAAUCCGGAGCCCGCUUGGAAUGCUGCCAGGAGAAGGAGCUCGGGAAAAGGCCACGGAAGGAGCUGCCCCUUCCCAUUCCCAAUGUUUCAGAGGCGUCGUUCCCGAUACAGCUGGCGUGGGAUGCGGGAAAAUUCCUGAAAUCAGCGGGAAAUUCCCGGCUGGGAAAAUCAGGGAUGGCGGAAUUCGGCUGA